UUCGCACGCCAUUUUUUUCCUUGCCCUACCAUCACCCAAGGUCCAGCUACGCCCCUGACUCAGUCUGUAUAUACCUCAGAGACUGCACUUGGAGCACUACAAAUAGCAAGAAGCCAAAAAACUACAUUGCUAUCUUUAAGCUUGAUAAGUGCUAUAAGCAAGGUACUAACUUUCACUGCUCCAGAGAUUACAAAAGGUACAUCAUCAAGAACUGCAUGAUACAUCAAGUUCUGAGCUGCUUAGUCCACAAGCACACUGAAUCAUGCAUGAGUAUUGUUAAUCUGUCAAGAUCUAUUGUAUAUAUGUACGGUACAUUGAAUUGCUUGCUAAGGCUCGCCCCUUCAAUGUUUUACAUUCGUCUAGUUAUAUUUAUUUCAUGAAUUGUUUUGUUGUUGAAUCAACUGCA